UGCUCAUUCAUUAGGUUGACGUAACAAACCAAUAUAACUUAGUUGUAUGUAUCCGUUUUCAACUCUCAAAGACUGUGGUGGAGAAUCCAACAAUGCAGACCAUGGAUAUUGAUGACGACACGUAUCCCAACAAGCCCAGUGUUACAUUUUCAGCUAAUUUUCAGUGGUGGAAGAGACCCUCUGGAGUUGCUGCAGUGUGUCUGGGGCUGCUGUGUGUUCUCCUACUGGCUGGGAUCAUAGGCCUGUCUGUCUACUGUGGAGUUAUUGGUCAUCACUACUCAACAGAGAGAGACCAACAGGCCAGUUACAGCCUUCUGACUAAAGAAGGAGAUCAGCAACCCACCAGUUAUAAUAACUUGACUAAAGAGGUAGACCAGCUACAGACCAGUU